AUUGAACGCUGGCGGCAGGCCUAACACAUGCAAGUCGAACGAUUGGCGGACGGGUGAGUAAUGUCUGGGAAACUGCCCGAUGGAGGGGGAUAACUACUGGAAACGGUAGCUAAUACCGCAUACCAUCGGAUGUGCCCAGAGGGGAUUAGCUGGUAGGUGGGGUAAAUGCUCACCAAGGCGACGAUCCCUAGCUGGUCUGAGAGGAUGACCGGCAAAACUGGAACUGGGACCGGGUCCAGACUCCUAGGGGGGGCAGCGGUGGGGAAUAUUGCACAAUGGGCGAAAGCCUAAUGCACCCCUGCCGCGUGUAUGAAGAAGGCCUUCGGGUUGUAAAGCACUUUCAGCGAGGAGGCGUUACUCGAAGAAGAAGCACCGGCUAACUCCGUGCCAGCAGCCGCGGUAAUUC
rnacentral:rRNA from 1 species